rnacentral:rRNA from 1 species
AUUGAACGCUGGCGGCAUGCCUUACACAUGCAAGUCGAACGGCAGCACGGGGGCAACCCUGGUGGCGAGUGGCGAACGGGUGAGUAAUGCAUCGGAACGUGCCCAGUAGUGGGGGAUAACCCGGCGAAAGCCGGGCUAAUACCGCAUACGACCUACGGGUGAAAGCGGGGGACCGUAAGGCCUCGCGCUAUUGGAGCGGCCGAUGUCUGAUUAGCUAGUUGGCGGGGUAAAGGCCCACCAAGGCGACGAUCAGUAGCUGGUCUGAGAGGACGACCAGCCACACUGGGACUGAGACACGGCCCAGACUCCUACGGGAGGCAGCAGUGGGGAAUUUUGGACAAUGGGCGCAAGCCUGAUUCAGCCAUGCCGCGUGCGGGAAGAAGGCCUUCGGGUUGUAAACCGCUUUUGGCAGGAACGAAACGGCGCAAGCUAAUACCUUGCGCUAAUGACGGUACCUGCAGAAUAAGCACCGGCUAACUACGUGCCAGCCGCCGCUGUAAUAC